CCUACGGGAGGCAGCAGUGAGGAAUAUUGGUCAAUGGGCGCGAGCCUGAACCAGCCAAGUAGCGUGAAGGAUGACUGCCCUACGGGUUGUAAACUUCUUUUAUAAAGGAAUAAAGUGAGGCACGUGUGCCUUUUUGUAUGUACUUUAUGAAUAAGGAUCGGCUAACUCCGUGCCAGCAGCCGCGGUAAUACGGAGGAUCCGAGCGUUAUCCGGAUUUAUUGGGUUUAAAGGGAGCGUAGAUGGGUUGUUAAGUCAGUUGUGAAAGUUUGUGGCUCAACCAUAAAAUUGCCGUUGAAACUGGUUGACUUGAGUAUAUUUGAGGGAGGCGGAAUGCGUGGUGUAGCGGUGAAAUGCAUAGAUAUCACGCAGAACUCCGAUGGCGAAGGCAGCUUACUAAACUAUAACUGACACUGAAGCACGAAAGCGUGGGGAGCAAACAGGAUUAGAUACCCGGGUAGUC
rnacentral:rRNA from 1 species